rnacentral:rRNA from 1 species
GAUGAACGCUGGCGGCGUGCCUAAUACAUGCAAGUCGAGCGAAUGAAGAGGAGCUUGCUCCUCUGAUUUAGCGGCGGACGGGUGAGUAACACGUGGGUAAUCUGCCUGUAAGACGGGGAUAACUCCGGGAAACCGGGGCUAAUACCGGAUAAUAAGAAGAAACGCAUGUUUCUUUUUUGAAAGUCGGUUUCGGCUGACACUUACAGAUGAGCCCGCGGCGCAUUAGCUAGUUGGUGAGGUAACGGCUCACCAAGGCUACGAUGCGUAGCCGACCUGAGAGGGUGAUCGGCCACACUGGGACUGAGACACGGCCCAGACUCCUACGGGAGGCAGCAGUAGGGAAUCUUCGGCAAUGGGCGAAAGCCUGACCGAGCAACGCCGCGUGAGCGAUGAAGGCCUUCGGGUCGUAAAGCUCUGUUGUUAGAGAAGAACAAGUACGAGAGUAACUGCUCGUACCUUGACGGUACCUAACCAGAAAGCCACGGCUAACUACGUGCCAGCAGCCGCCGUAAUAC